rnacentral:rRNA from 1 species
AAACUAACAAGGAUUCCCCUAGUAACGGCGAGUGAAGAGGGAAGAGCCCAAGAUUGAAAGCUGGCGUCUUCGGCGUCCGCAUUGUAAUCUCAAGAAGUGUUUUCCGCUUCGGACCAUGCCUAAGUCCCUUGGAAAAGGGCAUCAUAGAGGGUGAUAAUCCCGUACAUGGCAUGGAGCGCCCGAAGCUUUGUGAUACGCUUUCUAAGAGUCGAGUUGUUUGGGAAUGCAGCUCAAAAUGGGUGGUAAAUGCCAUCUAAGGCUAAAUAUUGGGGAGAGACCGAUAGCGAACAAGUACAGUGAUGGAAAGAUGAAAAGAACUUUGAAAAGAGAGUUAAACAGUACGUGAAAUUGCCAAAAGGGAAGGGUAGGAGGUCAGAGAUGCGGCCUGGGAUUCAGCCUUGCUUUUGCUUGGUGUUUUUCCCAGAUUGCAGGCCAACGUCGGUUUUGGGCACUGGAGAAGGGUAGGAGGAACGUGGCACCUCUCGGGG